AUUGAACGCUGGCGGCAGGCCUAACACAUGCAAGUCGAACAAGUGGCGGACGGGUGAGUAAUGUCUGGGAAACUGCCUGAUGGAGGGGGAUAACUACUGGAAACGGUAGCUAAUACCGCAUACCAUCGGAUGUGCCCAGAUGGGAUUAGCUAGUAGGUGGGGUAACGGCUCACCUAGGCGACGAUCCCUAGCUGGUCUGAGAGGAUGACCAGCCACACGGGAACGGAGACACGGUCCAGACUCCUACGGAGGGAAGCAGUGGGGAAUAUUGCACAAGGGGGGCAAGCCUGAUGCAGCCAUGCCGCGUGUAUGAAGAAGGCCUGCGGGUUGUAAAGUACUUUCAGCGGGGAGGCGUUACCCGCAGAAGAAGCACCGGCUAACUCCGUGCCAGCAGCCGCGGUAAUUC
rnacentral:rRNA from 1 species